rnacentral:rRNA from 1 species
AGUGAACGCUGGCGGUAGGCCUAACACAUGCAAGUCGAACGGCAGCACAGUAAGAGCUUGCUCUUACGGGUGGCGAGUGGCGGACGGGUGAGGAAUACAUCGGAAUCUACUUUUUCGUGGGGGAUAACGUAGGGAAACUUACGCUAAUACCGCAUACGACCUACGGGUGAAAGCAGGGGAUCUUCGGACCUUGCGCGAUUGAAUGAGCCGAUGUCGGAUUAGCUAGUUGGCGGGGUAAAGGCCCACCAAGGCGACGAUCCGUAGCUGGUCUGAGAGGAUGAUCAGCCAAACGGGAACUGAGACACGGUCCAGACUCCUACGGGAGGCAGCAGUGGGGAAUAUUGGAAAAUGGGCGCAAGCCUGAUCCAGCCAUACCGCGUGGGUGAAGAAGGCCUUCGGGUUGUAAAGCCCUUUUGUUGGGAAAGAAAAGCAGCAGGUUAAUACCCCGCUGUUCUGACGGUACCAAAAGAAUAAGCACCGGCUAACUUCGU